AUUUAGAAACCCUGGAUUUAAGUGGGAAUCGCCUUGGCGAAGACGGAUAUUGGUUGCAUGUAGUUAACAGGCUCCCUUAUCUAACAAACUUGCAUCUAAGCUCCUGUGACCUUGCAAAUAUCAUUCCGAUGUCUAAUUCCCUUGCAAAUUCUUCCACUUCUCUUGCAGUCCUUGAUCUCUCUUCCAACUAUUUCUCUUAUCCAGUAUUCCAGUGGGUUUUUAACUUGAAUAGCAGCCUUGUUGAUAUUAAUCUCAGUGAUAAUCAUUUGGAAGGCUUCGUUCCAUAUGCAUUUCAGUACAUGGCUUCUCUUAAAAAUCUUAAUCUUUCCUUUAAUGAACUUAAAGGAACAAUUCCAAACUUUUUUGGAAAUUUCUGUAGUUUGCAUACGCUAGAUCUUGCU
rnacentral:misc_RNA from 1 species